rnacentral:rRNA from 1 species
GUCUUUUAGAUUUUAAUUUAAAGUCUAACCUGCCCAAUGAAUAAUUUAAUGGCCGCAGUAUUUUGACUGUGCAAAGGUAGCAUAAUCAUUAGUUUUUUAAUUUAAAACUGGAAUGAAAGGUUGGACGAGAAAAUAACUGUCUCUGUAUAAAUUUUUUAUAAUUUUAUUUUUAAGUUAAAAAGCUUAAAUAAUUUUAGAAGACGAGAAGACCCUAUAGAGUUUAAUUAUUAUUAUUUUAAAUAUUUAUUUAGAAUUUUUUAUUUUUAAUUUAAUUAAUAAUUUAAUUGGGGUGAUUAAAAAAUUUAAAAAACUUUUUUUUUUGUGUUAACAUUAAUUUAUGAAUUUUUGAUCCAUUAUUAUGAUUAUAAGAUUAAAUUACCUUAGGGAUAACAGCGUUAUUUCUUUUUAGAGUUCUAAUCGAUAAAGAAGUUUGCGACCUCGAUGUUGGAUUAAAAUUAAUUUUUGGUGUAGUAGCUAUAAUAUUAGGUCUGUUCGACCUUUAAAAUUUUACA